rnacentral:rRNA from 1 species
GACGAACGCUGGCGGCGUGCUUAACACAUGCAAGUCGAACGGAAAGGCCUGCUUUCCCUUGUGGAUUGCGGGUACUCGAGUGGCGAACGGGUGAGUAACACGUGAGUGAUCUGCCCCCAACUUGGGUAUAAGCCUGGGAAACUGGGUCUAAUUCCCGAUAGGACUGCAGGGUGGUGCCUGUGGUGGAAAACGAUUUUCUAGUGGUUGGGGAUGAGCUCACGGCCUAUCAGCUUGUUGGUGGGGUAAUGGCCUACCAAGGCGGCGACGGGUAGCCGGCCUGGGAGGGGGGACGGCCACAUUGGGACUGAGAUACGGCCCAGACUCCUACGGGAGGCAGCAGUGGGGAAUAUUGCACAAUGGGCGGAAGCCUGAUGCAGCGACGCCGCGUGGGGGAUGACGGCCUUCGGGUUGUAAACUCCUUUCGACCGCGAGGAAGCCACCUGGUUGGAAGGGUGGUGACGGUAGUGGUAGAAGAAGCACCGGCUAACUACGUG